rnacentral:rRNA from 1 species
UACGUAGGGCGCAAGCGUUGUCCGGAAUCAUUGGGCGUAAAGAGCUCGUAGGCGGUCUGUUGCGUCCGCUGUGAAAACCCGGGGCUUAACCCCUGGCUUGCAGUGGAUACGGACAGACUAGAGGUAGGUAGGGGAGAAUGGAAUUCCCGGUGUAGCGGUGAAAUGCGCAGAUAUCGGGAGGAACACCGGUGGCGAAGGCGGUUCUCUGGGCCUUACCUGACGCUGAGGAGCGAAAGCGUGGGGAGCGAACAGG